rnacentral:rRNA from 1 species
AACGCUGGCGGCGUGCUAACACAUGCAAGUCGAACGAAGCCCUCGGGCUUAGUGGCGGACGGGUGAGUAACGCGUGAGAAUCUACCUCCGAGAUGGGGACAACCGUUGGAAACGACGGCUAAUCCCCAAUAAGCCGAAAGGUGAAAGGGUUUCCGCUCGCAGAGGAGCUCGCGUCCGAUUAGUUAGUUGGUGGGGUAAGAGCCUACCAAGGCAGCGAUCGGUAGCUGGUCUGAGAGGAUGAGCAGCCACACUGGGACUGAGACACGGCCCAGACUCCUACGGGAGGCAGCAGUGGGGAAUUUUCCGCAAUGGGCGCAAGCCUGACGGAGCAACGCCGCGUGUGGGAAGAAGGCUCUUGGGCUGUCAACCACUUUUCUCAGGGAAGAAGUCCUGACGGUACCUGAGGAAUCAGCCUCGGCUAACUCCGUGCCAGCAGCCGCGGUAAUACGGAGGAGGCAAGCGUUAUCCGGAAUUAUUGGGCGCAAAGCGUCCGCAGGGGGCACUUCAAGUCUGCUGUCAAAGGCCGGAGCUUAACUCCGGUUCGGCAGUGGAAACUGGAGUGCUAGAGGGCGACAGGGGUAGAGGGAAUUCCCAGUGUAGCGGUGAAAUGCGUAGAGAUUGGGAAGAACACCGGUGGCGAAAGCGCUCUACUGGGUCGCACCUGACCCUCAGGGACGAAAGCUAAGGUAGCGAAAGGGAUUAGAUACCCCUGUAGUCUUAGCCGUAAACGAUGGAUACUAGGCGUGGUUUGUAUCGACCCAAGCCGUGCCGAAGCUAACGCGUUAAGUAUCCCGCCUGGGGAGUACGCACGCAAGUGUGAAACUCANAGGAAUUGACGGGGGCCCGCACAAGCGGUGGAGGAUGUGGUUUAAUUCGAUGCAACGCGAAGAACCUUACCAGGGCUUGACAUCCCGGGAAUCUUGCUGAAAG